CGCGGCAAGACGGAAAGACCCCGUGAACCUUUACUAUAGCUUGACACUGAACAUUGAGCCUUGAUGUGUAGGAUAGGUGGGAGGCUUUGAAGUGUGGACGCCAGUCUGCAUGGAGCCGACCUUGAAAUACCACCCUUUAAUGUUUGAUGUUCUAACGUGGACCCGUGAUCCGGGUUGCGGACAGUGUCUGGUGGGUAGUUUGACUGGGGCGGUCUCCUCCUAAAGAGUAACGGAGGAGCACGAAGGUUGGCUAAUCCUGGUCGGACAUCAGGAGGUUAGUGCAAUGGCAUAAGCCAGCUUGACUGCGAGCGUGACGGCGCGAGCAGGUGCGAAAGCAGGUCAUAGUGAUCCGGUGGUUCUGAAUGGAAGGGCCAUCGCUCAACGGAUAAAAGGUACUCCGGGGAUAACAGGCUGAUACCGCCCAAGAGUUCAUAUCGACGGCGGUGUUUGGCACCUCGAUGUCGGCUCAUCACAUCCUGGGGCUGAAGUAGGUCCCAAGGGUAUGGCUGUUCGCCAUUUAAAGUGGUACGCGAGCUGGGUUUAGAACGUCGUGAGACAGUUCGGUCCCUAUCUGCCGUGGGCGCUGGAGAACUGAGGGGGGCUGCUCCUAGUACGAGAGGACCGGAGUGGACGCAUCACUGGUGUUCGGGUUGUCAUGCCAAUGGCACUGCCCGGUAGCUAAAUGCGGAAGAGAUAAGUGCUGAAAGCAUCUAAGCACGAAACUUGCCCCGAGAUGAGUUCUCCCUGAGACUUAGAGUCUCCUGAAGGAACGUUGAAGACGACGACGUUGAUAGGCCGGGUGUGUAAGCGCAGCGAUGCGUUGAGCUAACCGGUACUAAUGAACCGUGAGGCUUAACCUUACAACGCCGAAG
rnacentral:rRNA from 1 species